ensembl:lncRNA
UAUAUAUAUGUAUGUAUGUAUAUGUAUGUAUGUAUAUGUAUAAAUCCUACACUCUAAAGGUAUAGUUGAUGAUUUUGAGCAGAAGUUUGAACAGGCGUGAUUGAUCAGGAGAUUGGUUUUGUUGGUGCUUCAGGUCCGUUUAAAGAGUCUGGACUGGAGCGCUGACGGACACGAUUUUAUUCAAGUGGCGAGGAGAACCUCCCCAAAUAUAACAAGCCUUUAAUGUUAACCGAUGCUGUAAAUAAAGUUCGUUACUAGAACCUUAAUAUAGAGUCAGCGAUGAUUCAUUACACAACACUAGUGACCACCUUCUGCUGAUAACAUGGCAAGUAUUAGCCUGUAUACGUAUGAUAGGAAAUGUACCAAAUGAUUAUGGGCCAGAUCCAAAACAAAACCCAAACAGGCCACAUAUUGAGUCGUGUAAAUGACUUUGGAUCAGAAUGAUACAGCCGUGGCUCUGUAUUCAGUGUUUUAUUCAAUACUCCUUCGCUUUAGGGUCACGGAUCAGAUCAGAUCAUUAAUAAUUCUGGCUGCUGUCAUCCCUUUUGGCUGGAUUAGACGUUAAAGACGUCAGCCCAGGUGGUGCACGCGAGUGUGUUCUUGUCUCAGACGCGAUUGUAAUUCAUGUCGAGUGUUUUCACGUAUCGUACGCAGAGAUCCUUUGUGCAAAAAAUCCUUUAACGGUGAACAUGUUGAAUAAGAACUUCCAGAUGCACACAUCCCGUUUUUUAAGAAAAAAAAAUGAAAAUACAGUAUACAUGGAAUAUUUCUGUGCAAAGGGAACACCGCGGUUGUGAAAUGCUGCUGCCAAAAAAAAAGAAAAAGAAAAAGUGUCAGCUGUUACAUUUUCUAUCCGUGUUUGCGAUGUAAUUGUCAAGUAUGAUCACUUUUAUCCAAUGUUACCAGUUUCAGCGCAGCAGCAUUUCAAGAGAUGCAUUUCAUUCCGUUUCAUUUCCAGUGACUCCUCAGUCACGGUGAGAUCAUCUCCCAAGUCGCCGUCUCGUGCUCUGAUUGUGGACCAUAUAUGUUCUCUCUCUCUUUCUCUCUCUCUCUCUCUCUCUCUCUCUCUCUGUGUUGUUCAGUCUGUAAUGAUGCCUGGCUGUAUCUGGCCCUGGACCAGUCAUCGUAUCUGUGUUUGGUGUGACGUGAACGUUUUGUCGUCUGUAUCACACGAACAGUAGAUUUGCGAGCAGACGUUCUGCAAGCGAAUCAUCCGCAGAGUUAAUUGUGCUUUUGUUCGUUCCACUUCAGCCCAAGAGCCUGAUUUACUCAAGUCAUUAAGCAGGACAAAGUGAUCGAGAGCGGCGUAUCUCAGUCGCCGAUCAUGGAAACUGCUCGAGUGUUUUUAGUAAAUAAGGCCCUGGGUGUCUCGACCUGAUAUCGAGAGAAUAUUGUUCUUGAAUUCCACAAGUGUUGGCGCGUUCUGAUCUUCGGCUCGCGCUAAACCCCGAGGCACAGCGAGGCAGUAGAUUAGCACUUCACUAUAGAAGCCGAGCUUGUGGAUUUUUCUUUUUCUUUUCCUUUUUUUUGCACGUCUUAGUUUGUUUUAGCAAUCCUCAGCCACUUGCCUAUACAAUAUCAAUAGUGCUUGUACAUAUAUUAAGUAAGAAGUGCUUGUAAUAUGAACCUGAGUUCUUUUAUUGUUAUUUUUUUUAUUCAACAUGUUUUUGUAGUACUGCCUUUUCAUGAUUUCAGUUGUCGAUGGGGUCAUGUGUGGGAUAAAUUGAAAGUGUUCAUUUUUUAAAAUAAACACACCUUAUUUGUACUCUGCUUUCAGUUGUUUUUUUUUGUGUGUGUGAUCAUAGAAAACGUGGAUCAUCU